rnacentral:misc_RNA from 1 species
UUUCCGUAGGUGAACCUGCGGAAGGAUCAUUAAUGAGUUGUCAAGGGGUUCGAUGCUGGCAGCCAGUUUUUGGAUGCAUGUGCUUGCCCUAACAAUCAUCUUCUUCCAAACACCUGUGCACAUUUUUGAGGGAGUCUUGAGUUGGUUGCCGCUCUUGGGUGAUUUUCUCACAUUCCCUUAAAUCAUUAUACGCUAUUAACAAUGUUGAACGUGCUCUGUGCCGCAAGGCCAUUAAUAUAAUACAACUUUUAACAACGGAUCUCUUGGCUCUC